rnacentral:rRNA from 1 species
UGGGGAAUAUUGGACAAUGGGCGCAAGCCUGAUCCAGCCAUGCCGCGUGCAGGACGAAGGCCUUCGGGUUGUAAACUGCUUUUGUACGGAACGAAAAGCCCUUCUCUAAUACAGAGGGGUCAUAACGGUACCGUAAGAAUAAGCACCGGCUAACUACGUGCCAGCAGCCGCGGUAAUACGUAGGGUGCAAGCGUUAAUCGGAAUUACUGGGCGUAAAGCGUGCGCAGGCGGUUUUGUAAGACAGAGGUGAAAUCCCCGGGCUCAACCUGGGAACUGCCUUUGUGACUGCAAGGCUGGAGUGCGGCAGAGGGGGAUGGAAUUCCGCGUGUAGCAGUGAAAUGCGUAGAUAUGCGGAGGAACACCGAUGGCGAAGGCAAUCCCCUGGGCCUGAACUGACGCUCAUGCACGAAAGCGUGGGGAGCAAACA